rnacentral:lncRNA from 1 species
UGCGAUAGUUACUCUAUGUGGUAGUACUGAAAAUGAGCUCAACAUUAUUAACUGCAUGAAUUCAGCGUACAAUCUGACAGAUGCACAAUCAAUGAGUUUUUGUGCUCAAUCAGUCGCUAAUGUACAAUCUUCAGCUGCUAAAAAUCAAGUAGUCUCUAGUAUAUCUGGUAUUUGUUGUUUCAUAUUUUCAGUCUCUUGUUUGUGAUAAACCCCACCCUUGAGGGUGUUUUUGAGAAGCUGAGAAUGUAAAGAAUAGGCAAGGAUAUAAAAAUAAAUAUAGGAAUUAGUGGGGACAUAGUGAAAAUAGUGGUAUUCUAAGUAGAUAUAUAACUGAGUUGUAUUUCUAUUUGGAAUUAGGGAAUGAUAAUAUGAUAUUUC